AGAACACGGAACCCCCUGAUUUAACAGCAAAGAUCUUUAAGGAGUUCCAAAAUGUUGGAUGGUAUGAGGUUAACCACACUGCGACCUCUUGAAUUUGGGGAACUCUUGUUAUUUCAAUGCGACUGUGCAGGCUUUUCUACACACACGCCCAUUCAUUCAUUUGAUAAAGAUUCUCUCUGAUGAGCAUGCUAAGUUUAAUCGGUCCAGAUGCACCCGUGUUGUGUGUUCAUUCCAGACCACAUUCAGAAACAUGGUGGAUUUGGUCACACAAGCCUUUGACGGACAAACUAGGAGACGAUCCCCACGACUGCCCGACUCCGCCCUCCCGUGCCAUCCCCAUGACUCAGCCGCCAGCGCACACUGUCAUCCGUCUGCCUCCGACGCGCUGCGUUGUUUAAAUAUCCGGUUAAGCCCACCGACCGACGGAGACUGGGCACAGGCAUACUGGGCGGCGUGUUGAAACAGGUUCACACCACGGUGAGCGCUAGGCAAGCCAGCCCGGCGGAGGUUUAGAAC